UGCCACCCUCUCGCUUACGUUGCUUCUAAACUAGCACUGGGAUGUCUCCUAUUGGAACUAUUGAUUUCAGUUACCACAGCACUACAGCUUGUUUUGAACCAUCCCUGGAUUACAUUGUGGUGAAAAUAACAGUUGGGAUCUCUCCAAGUUUACCCAAGUUAGCAUUGAGAUUGGUAGCAGCAUGAAGAGGAGGAGAAGUCAUGGCAGUUGAAGGAAAUUUGAGGAGGCACUGCAGAUAAGGAUGGUCAAUGAGUCUUGUCUUGGGUUUGAUCCUAAAUUCUUACAACUUAGAAAAGAAGAUCUCAAUCAUUGAACUGACAAGCAUAUUUUAGAGUAGCAGCUGCUUUGGACUCCAUUGAUGAGUUGUACCUGCUAACAUGUAUUGAGAAAUGGUUCCUUUGCAGAAAGAAGAAUAUCGUUGACUGUAAUAAAUUGCUAGGAAAACAUGACCAAUAGGCACUGCCCCAAAUUCCAUCCUAUUAUGCUUUGAAAUGAAUCCAAUUAUGCUCAUUAUUAUGCUCAUACGUGUGUGUAGUUUAAGCUGUUUUAUGAUCUUUGUUUGGAUGCUAGGUUUUACUCAGACUCAGAGGAUUAGUCCUGUCAGCCCAAAGACCCUGUCUCUCUCUCCACAGCACUUCUUCCUUCAUCUCCUCUUAAAUUCUACCGCUGACUUGUUGCUAAGGAAACAGACCCCACCCAGCAACACUAACCUAGUGCUGUGGGAAAGGUGCACGGAACAUUUUAAUUUUUUAUCUCACCUCGUAAAAGAUUAUUAGUAUCUGAAGAGGAGUCUCUAC